GGGUUGUGAGGUUAAGCGACCAAGCGUACACGGUGGAUGCCCUGGCAGUCAGAGGCGAUGAAGGACGUGCUAAUCUGCGAAAAGCGCCGGUAAGGUGAUAUGAACCGUUAUAGCCGGCGAUGUCCGAAUGGGGAAACCCAGUGUGAUUCGUCACACUAUCAUUAACUGAAUCCAUAGGUUAAUGAGGCGAACCGGGGGAACUGAAACAUCUAAGUACCCCGAGGAAAAGAAAUCAACCGAGAUUCCCCCAGUAGCGGCGAGCGAACGGGGAGGAGCCCAGAGCCUGAAUCAGCAUGUGUGUUAGUGGAAGCGUCUGGAAAGGCGCGCGAUACAGGGUGAGAGCCCCGUACACAAAAGCGCAUGUGCUGUGAGCUCGAUGAGUAGGGCGGGACACGUGGUAUCCUGUCUGAAUAUGGGGGGACCAUCCUCCAAGGCUAAAUACUCCUGACUGACCGAUAGUGAACCAGUACCGUGAGGGAAAGGCGAAAAGAACCCCGGCGAGGGGAGUGAAACAGAACCUGAAACCGUGUACGUACAAGCAGUGGGAGCCCCACCACCAAAGCGUUUCGCUUUGCGUGGUGCGCAAAAUGCGUAACGACAGCACGAUUACGAUUAACGGAGCGUAAGCGACGUUCAACACAAAAAUCAGGCAGUGGAGCGUUUUGGGGUGGGGUGACUGCGUACCUUUUGUAUAAUGGGUCAGCGACUUAUAUUCUGUAGCAAGGUUAACCGCAUAGGGGAGCCGGAGGGAAACCGAGUCUUAAUUGGGCGUUAAGUUGCAGGGUAUAGACCCGAAACCCGGUGAUCUAGCCAUGGGCAGGUUGAAGGUUGGGUAACACUAACUGGAGGACCGAACCGACUAAUGUUGAAAAAUUAGCGGAUGACCUGUGGCUGGGGGUGAAAGGCCAAUCAAACCGGGAGAUAGCUGGUUCUCCCCGAAAGCUAUUUAGGUAGCGCCUCGUGAAUUCAUCUCCGGGGGUAGAGCACUGUUUCGGCCAGGGGGCCAUCCCGGCUUACCAAUCCGAUGCAAACUGCGAAUACCGGAGAAUGUUAUCACGGGAGACACACGGCGGGUGCUAACGUCCGUCGUGAAGAGGGAAACAACCCAGACCGCCAGCUAAGGUCCCAAAGUCAUGGUUAAGUGGGAAACGAUGUGGGAAGGCCCAGACAGCCAGGAUGUUGGCUUAGAAGCAGCCAUCAUUUAAAGAAAGCGUAAUAGCUCACUGGUCGAGUCGGCCUGCGCGGAAGAUGUAACGGGGCUAAACCAUGCACCGAAGCUGCGGCAGCGAACGUAUCACCCAAGACAACUUUGCACAGUUGACGACUGACGGAGCGAAGCGACGUCAAAGCGUUUUACAACGUCGAGUUGGCUUAGGGAUACGUUCGUUGGGUAGGGGAGCGUUCUGUAAGCCGUUGAAGG
rnacentral:rRNA from 1 species